rnacentral:rRNA from 1 species
UACGGAGGGUGCAAGCGUUAUCCGGAUUCACUGGGUUUAAAGGGUGCGUAGGCGGCGCGGUAAGUCGGGUGUGAAAUCCGGUCGGGCUUACACCCGAACUGCAUUCGAUACUGCGUGCUUGAGGACUGGAGAGGAGACUGGAAUUACGGUGUAGCAGUGAAAUGCGUAGAGAUCAUAGGAAGACCAGUGGCGAAGGCGGGUCUCUGGACAGUUCCUGACACUGAGGCACGAAGGCCAGGGGAGCAAACGGG